UAAGGUCCGUGUUCGAAAGGGAAACAGCCCAGACCACCAGCUAAGGUCCCAAAAUAUAUGUUAAGUGGAAAAGGAUGUGGCGUUGCCCAGACAACUAGGAUGUUGGCUUAGAAGCAGCCAUCAUUUAAAGAGUGCGUAAUAGCUCACUAGUCGAGUGACACUGCGCCGAAAAUGUACCGGGGCUAAACAUAUUACCGAAGCUGUGGAUUGUCCUUUGGACAAUGGUAGGAGAGCGUUCUAAGGGCGUCGAAGCAUGAUCGCAAGGACAUGUGGAGCGCUUAGAAGUGAGAAUGCCGGUGUGAGUAGCGAAAGACGGGUGAG
rnacentral:rRNA from 1 species